ACACGGGAAAGGAGGUGGUCCGAAGAAUGAUUUCUUUGAGGACGCGUGAGGUGGCUGCCCGCUAGCAGCCCGAGUACGAACUGGUCGGCUUCGUCGACCAGGGCUGCUCGCGAAAUCACAGCAGCCACCCGACCCGCAGGUGCACCGGGACGUCCCCCGGUCAGGUCCACCGGACCACGCCUGCGGGUCGCUGCAU
rnacentral:sRNA from 1 species